AGAAAAGAGUAUUGCAGGUAAAGAGUAUUGCAGGUAAAGAGUAUUGCAGGUAAAGAGUACUGCAGGUAAAGAGUAUUGCAGGUAAAGAGUAUUGCAGGUAAAGAGUAUUGCAGGUAAAGAGUAUUGCAGGUAAAGAGUAUUGCAGGUAAAUAGUAUUGCAGGUAAAGAGUAUUGCAGGUAAAGAGUAUUGCAGGUAAAGAGUAUUGCAGGUAAAGAGUACUGCAGGUAAAGAGUAUUGCAGGUAAAGAGUACUGCAGGUAAAGAGUACUGCAGGUAAAGAGUAUUGCAGGUAAAGAGUACUGCAGGUAAAGAGUACUGCAGGAAAAGAGUAUUGCAGGUAAAUAGUAUUGCAAGAAAAGAGUAUUGCAGGUAAAGAGUACUGCAGGUAAA